UAUUCCAAUGGCUCAUUUUUGUGUACUGUGGCCUCAAGGAAUGUGGCCCUUGAUUU
ensembl:misc_RNA